CAGCCGCCGCGGGAAUACGGAGGGUGCAAGCGCUAUCCGGAUUCACUGGGUUUAAAGGGUGCGUAGGCGGGCAGGUAAGUCAGUGGUGAAAUCUUCGAGCUUAACUCGGAAACUGCCAUUGAUACUAUCUGUCUUGAAUAACGUUGAGGUGAGCGGAAUAUGUCAUGUAGCGGUGAAAUGCUUAGAUAUGACAUAGAACACCGAUUGCGAAGGCAGCUCACUAAACGCUCAUUGACGCUGAGGCACGAAAGCGUGGGGAUCAAACAGGAUUAGAGACCCCGGUAGUCCCUGUCUCUUAUAC
rnacentral:rRNA from 1 species